rnacentral:lncRNA from 1 species
AUGCAACUUUCUACAUCACUAACUAGCCUUUUCCUCAGCGGUCUUUGCAUUGUGGUGGUUAGAACAGCAAGCAUACCUGAUGGCAACGUAACGGUUGACACCCUUGACGAAUCAACUGACACAUCCAUUUCCGAGGGAGAUGACCUUUGGUGUUGCCUGUGGUCCUGGUUACUCGACGAUGGAAAAAACUGCACGACCAGCCAUGAAACCGACGAUGGCUCCGCCAUAGGACCGCCCGCGCCCCCUCCUCUUCCUCAUCACAAAAAACCUCCCAAGGACCCCAAUCCACCUGUAGGACCGCCCCAGGCUCCUGUCCUACCACCUUCUCCUAGUGAUCCUCUUACAGUUCCCAUUAUUGACCCUGUCACAAUUUUUCCACCCCCUAAAGAGGCCGCUAACCCUUCUGGUAAAGAUGCGAAGGACGUGGAUGUCCAUAGCGAACCAGGGUCUAAUCUUGAGAGCCUUUCGCAGAAAAGAGCUGUCGAAGAUGGUGUCUGGAUGGAUCCCUACCCGUACGAUAGUGAUAGUGCGGAAAAACAAACUAUAGCAACGGUAAUAAAUACCAGGAAACGUAGAUCUACGGACGCUGCGGAGGAUGAUGAUUCGAUGAUUCCGUGGGCUCCAGACGAAGAUACAAACACCGGGAAUAAUGGAACGGCUGUGGAGUCUGCAAAUGUUGUCGCAGAGGAUGCCCAAGAGAACACUUUGCCCAACACUCUCAUGGAUACGGCGGACUAUGGAUCUCUUGACCCUGCUCUUGAUACGGCGACGACUAGUAAAAGGGCAGUGUACAUUGUUAGAAAGCCAGUUUAUGGUGUAAGGAGGUUGUAUCAGCUCCAAAGGGAAUCCAGGAUUCAACGACUACGGAGGGACACCGAUGAUGCGAACGAGGUGGAUGAUAUUCCAAAUGCAGUGGGUAACAAUCCGGUAGAUAACGCAAAUGAAAGUUCGGAGGAAGAGGUCGGUGAUAUUCCUGCAAUCUCGAUGGAUGACACAGAUGACAGUAUGUCGGAUGACUCAGAUGACGAUUCGGUUGAUGAAGCGAGUGACAGCUCGGUGGAUGAGGUAGGUGAUAUCGAUCCAGGUUAUGGUGUUAGUAGGGUGUACCGGCUCCAAAGGGAAUCCAGGAUUGAACGACUACGAAGGGACACCGAUGAUGCAACUGAGGUGGAUAAUAUUCCGAAUGCAACGGGUAAAAAUCUGGUGGAUGACGCAGAUGAAAGUUCGGAGGAAGAGGUUGGUGACAUUUCCGCAAGCUCGAUGGAUAACACCGGUGACAGUAAGACGGAUGAGGCAGAUGACCGUUCGGUUGAUGAAGCAAGUGACAGUUUGGUGGAUGAGACGGGCGAUAGUCUUGCCAGUCCGGUAGAUGACACAAAUGAAGACGGUGAUGAGGGAGAUGAAAGUUCAGAGGAAGAGGUUGGUGAUAUUUCCGCAAGAUCUAUAGAUGAGACAGAUGACAGUUCGGUUGAUGAAGUGAGUGGCAAUUCGGUGGAUGAGGUAGGUGAUAUCGAUCCUAUUUCGACGGAAUAUACAGACGAUAAAGUGGACGAUCCAACAAAAGCGGACAAUCCAACAGAGGCGGACAAUCCAACAGAGGCGGACAAUCCAACAGAAGUAGAAUCGGAAAGUACCAUUAAGGAUGCUCUGGAACAAGCCAAUAUCAACAAAAGGCCGAUAUCCGUCGGAGGAGAUGAACUUUACGAUUGGUCUGGCAGUUACGUCUACAGACGGAGGCGAGACACCUCUGAUGCAGAAACCACACCCACGGGUGCAUCGGUUUCCGAUCUGCCCGAUUUGGAUGUAAGUUCUUCCGCCUUGAUGGACCAACCAGCCGACGUUAGCAAAGAUCCCGCUUCGGAGGAUACAACCAAAGACGAGGACGAUUGCAUUCCUCUAUCGGGGACGGAGUAUGAAUAUGCGUAUAUCUGUAAGAGGUCAAUGCUUUAUACAGGAAUACCAUUUGAUCCGAGAGUUUAUAAUACAUAUGACUACCGACGAAGGAGGGCAGCACCUACAUCUACCGGCUCUUCGGAUCCUGAUCCAAAUAAUGCAGUAGACGAUUCGGUUGCUGCAGUGAAGGAAUCAGGAGACGUUAAGGGAGACACAGCAAUGGAUGCUGUAGACAAUGAAGUGAACGAUCCCGAAAUUGCUCUUUCGUCCGUGAAAGACCUUAAAAGUCCUAGUGAGUAUGGUGAGAAUAUGUAUACAAUACUUCACAGACGAAGAAGAGAAACCGAUGACGUUGCUACUGCAUCUACCGAGUCAUUAGAUUCGAAUCAAAAAGAUAUAGAAUAUGGCUCAACGGAGCAAAUAGAUGACGCUGUAAAAGACCCUGCUGACGAUAAAACAGACAUCCUGGAAAUCAGUGUUUUUGAUUUUCGUACUAAUGCUCAAUACGACAAGAAGGUCGAGUCGGAUUCUGACGAAGGAGGCAUCAGUAAAAGGUCGAUUAUCUACUCAGGGAGUCCUUAUGGGCCCAUUGCUGGUCCUUAUGGGUCCAUUGCGGAUCCUUACGGGUGUAUGGGAAUACUCUAUAGGCAAAGAAGAGACACUGCCCAAGCGGCAUCUUUAUCAACAGACCCAUCAGAUGGUAAUCAAGAAAUAUUGGAGGAUAGUCUCUCUGCAUCAGCGGAGCAGACUGAAAACGGACCAGAAGACCUUGCACUAGAUGCCGCCAACGAUGAUGUGUCGUAUAAUCCAGCGAUCACGUUGUCAGAUAAUGAGGGUGAGCCAAACGAUAACGAAGUAAGUAGCUCAGACUCCAGUCAGGUGCAGAAGAGAGACACUUUUGAUCGAUAUUGGGGAUAUCCAACUGCUACCGCUCGAAUCAGCAGGCGUAAAAGAGCUUCAGAGGACGACACCUACUAUGAGCCAAAAGGCCGGUGGAUAGACCUAGAUUCAUUGGAAGAUUCAAUGAAUAUUGGCUUAUCUGCUUCCGAAGUGGUAGACGAAACAAGUGAAGAUCCUACGAGGACGUAUGAAACCGAGGUAUCGAACUUAUCGGGCGAAGAAAAUGACGUCUUAGUAGAUCCUUUCUCCCAUUGGCAGAGGGAAAGAAGAUUGCCAGGCGGAUACAGCGUAGGAUUAGGAGAGACACUCCAGGACCGACUCUUUAUGAUUCAGUGGAUACUGAUCUUCCUGCUUCUAGAUUGGUAG